AACGCGAAGAACCUUACCUGGGCUUGAACUACUGGUAGUAAGUCUUUGGAAACAUGGACUGAUCCGCAAGGAAGCCAGCAGAGGUGCUGCAUGGUUGUCGUCAGCUCGUGUCGUGAGAUGCUGGGUUAAGUCCCGCAACGAGCGCAACCCCUAUCUCAUGUUGCUAGUCCCGCAAGGGAUGCACUUUUGAGAAACUGCCUUCGAUGAGAAGGAGGAAGGUGGGGAUGACGUCAAAUCCUCAUGGCCCUUAUGUCCAGGGCUACACACGUGCUACAAUGGCCGGUACAAACCGCUGCAAACCCGCGAGGGGGAGCUAAUCGGAAAAAGCCGGCCUCAGUUCGGAUUGGAGUCUGCAACCCGACUCCAUGAAGCUGGUAUCGCUAGUAAUCGCAGAUCAGCACGCUGCGGUGAAUACGUUCCCGGGCCUUGUACACACCGACUGUAC
rnacentral:rRNA from 1 species